GCCGAGCCCGGUAGCGUGGGCCUGUAAUCCAAGUGGAGGCGUGAGGGUCAAGGGACGUUGAUUCAGUUCAUAUGACCGGGUCUCGAUUGGCUAAUUUCUGGCCCGCCCGUUCCAAGCCGAGAGCUGAGCCGUGUGAUCCAGACGAAGGUACGGAUCACACUGCUCCUAAAGCUAGGGGCAAUGCGUGAGGCUGGUUUCACAGAGCAGCGAUAACCUUACACUCUUGGCAGUGGAAGGAUAACGGGCCGGUGUCAACUGGACUCAUAUGGGUCAGAUGUUCGGAUCUAACUGAACCUUCACU
rnacentral:SRP_RNA from 1 species